rnacentral:rRNA from 1 species
GAUGAACGCUGGCGGCGUGCCUAAUACAUGCAAGUCGAGCGAACAGACGAGGAGCUUGCUCCUCUGACGUUAGCGGCGGACGGGUGAGUAACACGUGGAUAACCUACCUAUAAGACUGGGAUAACUUCGGGAAACCGGAGCUAAUACCGGAUAAUAUAUUGAACCGCAUGGUUCAAUAGUGAAAGACGGUUUUGCUGUCACUUAUAGAUGGAUCCGCGCCGCAUUAGCUAGUUGGUAAGGUAACGGCUUACCAAGGCGACGAUGCGUAGCCGACCUGAGAGGGUGAUCGGCCACACUGGAACUGAGACACGGUCCAGACUCCUACGGGAGGCAGCAGUAGGGAAUCUUCCGCAAAGGGCGAAAGCCUGACGGAGCAACGCCGCGUGAGUGAUGAAGGUCUUCGGAUCGUAAAACUCUGUUAUUAGGGAAGAACAAAUGUGUAAGUAACUAUGCACGUCUUGACGGUACCUAAUCAGAAAGCCACGGCUGACUACGUG